AUCGAUGUAUGAUACAUCCUUUUUAUGAUCAAAAUUUUUCGACCCCAUGCAUGCCUUGGACAACAACCAAAAUAGUCGACCCACGAUAAUGAGUGCUUGAUAAUGUGAUGGUCAAUCUUUGGAUCUUAAGUAAAUACAUCAAAUGCAAAAAUCUUAAGUCUUGACAAUGUACAUCUAUAUGUAGUAUUCCAAGAUCCCCC
rnacentral:lncRNA from 1 species